rnacentral:rRNA from 1 species
CUUGAUAAACCAUAAGAGGUCCAGCCUGCCCAGUGACUCUGUUCAACGGCCGCGGUAUCCUAACCGUGCGAAGGUAGCGUAAUCACUUGUUCUUUAAAUGAGGACUAGUAUGAAUGGCACCACGAGGGUUACACUGUCUCCUUCCUCUAAUCAGUGAAACUAAUCUCCCCGUGAAGAAGCGGGGAUGAAAUUAUAAGACGAGAAGACCCUAUGGAGCUUUAAACACAGUAACAAUUGCCCUGACCUUAUUUACCAGCCCCCGGGCACAAUUAUUCACUCAGGCACCUUGAUUACAAGUUUUAGGUUGGGGUGACCGCGGAGCAAAAAAUAACCUCCACAGUGAAAGGGGUCCCACCCCCUAAACCCCGGGCCACAGCCCCAAGAAUCAAAAAAUUGACACCCGUUGACCCA